GAUCUUGGUCAGGAUGAACGCUGGCGGCGUGCCUAACACAUGCAAGUCGAACGAAGCACUUCCGGUUGAGAUUCGUCAAGAACUGGAUUUGACUUAGUGGCGGACGGGUGAGUAAUGUAUGAGCAACCUGCCUUUCAGAGGGGGACAACAGUUGGAAACGACUGCUAAUACCGCAUAAUGUAUUUUAAGGGCAUCCUUGGAAUACCAAAGGAGCAAUCCGCUGAAAGAUGGGCUCAUAUCUGAUUAGUUAGUUGGCAGGGUAACGGCCUACCAAGACUGCGAUCAGUAGCCGGACUGAGAGGUUGAACGGCCACAUUGGGACUGAGAUACGGCCCAGACUCCUACGGGAGGCAGCAGUGGGGAAUAUUGGGCAAUGGGCGAAAGCCCUGACCCAGCAACGCCGCGUGAAGGAAGAAGGUCUUCGGAUUGUAAACUUCUUUUAUGAGGGACGAAGGACGUGACGGUACCUCAUGAAUAAGCCACGGCUAACUACGUGCCAGCCGCCGC
rnacentral:rRNA from 1 species